AGACCCGAAACCCGGUGAUCUAGCCAUGGGCAGGUUGAAGGUUGGGUAACACUAACUGGAGGACCGAACCGACUAAUGUUGAAAAAUUAGCGGAUGACCUGUGGCUGGGGGUGAAAGGCCAAUCAAACCGGGAGAUAGCUGGUUCUCCCCGAAAGCUAUUUAGGUAGCGCCUCGUGAAUUCAUCUCCGGGGGUAGAGCACUGUUUCGGCUAGGGGGCCAUCCCGGCUUACCAACCCGAUGCAAACUGCGAAUACCGGAGAAUGUUAUCACGGGAGACACACGGCGGGUGCUAACGUCCGUCGUGAAGAGGGAAACAACCCAGACCGCCAGCUAAGGUCCCAAAGUCAUGGUUAAGUGGGAAACGAUGUGGGAAGGCCCAGACAGCCAGGAUGUUGGCUUAGAAGCAGCCAUCAUUUAAAGAAAGCGUAAUAGCUCACUGGUCGAGUCGGCCUGCGCGGAAGAUGUAACGGGGCUAAACCAUGCACCGAAGCUGCGGCAGCGACACUGUGUGUUGUUGGGUAGGGGAGCGUUCUGUAAGCCUGUGAAGGUGUGUCGUGAGGCAUGCUGGAGGUAUCAGAAGUGCGAAUGCUGACAUAAGUAACGAUAAAGCGGGUGAAAAGCCCGCUCGCCGGAAGACCAAGGGUUCCUGUCCAACGUUAAUCGGGGCAGGGUGAGUCGACCCCUAAGGCGAGGCCGAAAGGCGUAGUCGAUGGGAAACGGGUUAAUAUUCCCGUACUUGGUGUUACUGCGAAGGGGGGACGGAGAAGGCUAUGUUGGCCGGGCGACGGUUGUCCCGGUUUAAGCGUGUAGGUGUGUGUUCCAGGUAAAUCCGGUUCACUUUAACACUGAGGCGUGACGACGAGGCACUACGGUGCUGAAGCAACAAAUGCCCUGCUUCCAGGAAAAGCCUCUAAGCAUCAGGUAACAUCAAAUCGUACCCCAAACCGACACAGGUGGUCAGGUAGAGAAUACCAAGGCGCUUGAGAGAACUCGGGUGAAGGAACUAGGCAAAAUGGUGCCGUAACUUCGGGAGAAGGCACGCUGACACGUAGGUGAAGUGAUUUACUCAUGGAGCUGAAGUCAGUCGAAGAUACCAGCUGGCUGCAACUGUUUAUUAAAAACACAGCACUGUGCAAACACGAAAGUGGACGUAUACGGUGUGACGCCUGCCCGGUGCCGGAAGGUUAAUUGAUGGGGUCAGCGCAAGCGAAGCUCCUGAUCGAAGCCCCGGUAAACGGCGGCCGUAACUAUAACGGUCCUAAGGUAGCGAAAUUCCUUGUCGGGUAAGUUCCGACCUGCACGAAUGGCGUAAUGAUGGCCAGGCUGUCUCCACCCGAGACUCAGUGAAAUUGAACUCGCUGUGAAGAUGCAGUGUACCCGCGGCAAGACGGAAAGACCCCGUGAACCUUUACUAUAGCUUGACACUGAACAUUGAGCCUUGAUGUGUAGGAUAGGUGGGAGGCUUUGAAGCGUGGAC
rnacentral:rRNA from 1 species